rnacentral:rRNA from 1 species
AACGAACGCUGGCGGCAGGCUUAACACAUGCAAGUCAAACGGGUGUAGCAAUACAAUAGUGGCGCACGGGUGAGUAACACGUGGGAAUUUUCCUUUCAGUAUGGAAUAACUUCGGGAAACUGAAGCUAAUACCAUAUAGUCUCCUAACGGAGUAAAGAUUUAUGGCUGAAAGAUAAGCCCGCGUCCGAUUAGCUAGUUGGUGAGGUAAUGGCUCAACAAGGCUACGAUCUGUAGCUGGUCUUAGAGGAUGAUCAGCCACACUGGAACUGAGGCACGGUCCAGACUCCUACGGGAGGCAGCAGUGGGGAAUAUUGGACAAUGGGGGAAACCCUGAUCCAGCCAUGCCGCGUGAGUGAUGAAGGCCUUCGGGUUGUAAAGCUCUUUUGUGUGGGAAGAUAAUGACUGUACCACAAGAAUAAGCCCCGGCUAACUUCGUGCCAGCAGCCGCCGUAA